UACGUAGGGUGCGAGCGUUGUCCGGAAUUAUUGGGCGUAAAGAGCUUGUAGGCGGUUUGUCGCGUCUGCUGUGAAAAUCCGGGGCUCAACCCCGGACUUGCAGUGGGUACGGGCAGACUAGAGUGUGGUAGGGGAGACUGGAAUUCCUGGUGUAGCGGUGAAAUGCGCAGAUAUCAGGAAGAACACCCGUGGCGAAGGCGGCUCUCUGGGACGGUACUGACGGCUGAGACGCGAAAGCGUGGGGAGCGAACAGG
rnacentral:rRNA from 1 species